GAUGAACGCUGGCGGCGCGCCUAAUACAUGCAAGUCGAGCGAACAGACGAGGAGCUUGCUCCUCUGACGUUAGCGGCGGACGGGUGUGUAACACGUGGAUAACCUACCUAUAAGACUGGGAUAACUUCGGGAAACCGGAGCUAAUACCGGAUAAUAUAUUGAACCGCAUGGUUCAAUAGUGAAAGACGGUUUUGCUGUCACUUAUAGAUGGAUCCGCGCCGCAUUAGCUAGUUGGUAAGGUAACGGCUUACCAAGGCAACGAUGCGUAGCCGACCUGAGAGGGUGAUCGGCCACACUGGAACUGAGACACGGUCCAGACUCCUACGGGAGGCAGCAGUAGGGAAUCUUCCGCAAUGGGCGAAAGCCUGACGGAGCAACGCCGCGUGAGUGAUGAAGGUCUUCGGAUCGUAAAACUCUGUUAUUAGGGAAGAACAAAUGUGUAAGUAACUAUGCACGUCUUGACGGUACCUAAUCAGAAAGCCACGGCUAACUACGUG
rnacentral:rRNA from 1 species